CGGGGCUGCUGCCCUGGACGAGCCUGCGACCCGCGGGCCCGAAGGAGAAGGACGAGGCGGUGAGGAGAAGCUGAGGAACUUAACUUUCCGGAAGCAGGUCUCGUACAGAGCGGUCUGCAACUGGAGAGUGUGAUGAAGAUGGCAGGUCCCUCGGAGCCUUCCCCCACAUGGAGGGUGAAGUUAAGUGGAGACGUUGCCUCAGCUCAGACUCUCAAGUCUGUUGAUUACACCAUUAAAUUAGAACAGUGCCUGGGACAUCGGUAAGUAUAUUCUAUUAUUAUCUUUAUU
rnacentral:lncRNA from 1 species